rnacentral:misc_RNA from 1 species
GAUGAAGAACGUAGCGAAAUGCGAUACUUGGUGUGAAUUGCAGAAUCCCGUGAACCAUCGAGUCUUUGAACGCAAGUUGCGCCCGAAGCCAUUAGGCCGAGGGCACGCCUGCCUGGGCGUCACACGUCGUUGCCCCCCCAUCUACUCCUUCGGGAUUGCGGGGGGCGGAUGAUGUCCUCCCGUGCGCCUCGCCGCGCGGUUGGCAUAAAUGCCAAGUCCUCGGCGACGCACGCCCCGACAAUCGGUGGUUGCGAAACCUCGGUUGCCCGUCGUGUGCGGUCGUCGCGCAUCGAGGGCUCGAAAAAAUUGCCGGGUUCCGGCUCGGCUUUCAACGCGACCCCAGGUCAGGCGGGGUUACCCGCUGAAUUUAAGCAUAUCAAUAAGCGGAGGA